UGAGACAGAGUCUCGCUCUGUUGCCCAGGCUGGAGCGCAGUGGCGGGAUCUCAGCUCACUGCAAGCUCCGCCUCCCAGGUUUACGCCAUUCUCCUGCCUCAGCCUCCCGAGUAGCUAGGACUACAGGCGCCCACCACCUCGCCUGGCUAAUGAACCUCUGAACCUUUCUUGUUCUUCAAGGACAAAUUCAACCCCCUCUUUCCCUUGAGACUGGCAUCCUGUUGGAGAAGGCAUGGCCCAAGGCAGGAGGCCAGGAACACACUCCUGAGGCAUCCUGGACUCGUUAUCUUUCUCAUCCCCCCACCUUACUGUCCCCCGUCCCCCACCCAUAGGAAGGCUGAAGACCCAUGAGUUCUACCAGUAAAUAGCCCUUGACCACCCCUUUUCUCUGCCUACUUGGUCCCAGCCCUUGGCAUCCUUUUAUUGGGCUGUUGUAGUGAAAGGUCAUGCUAGGUGAGAUACUGUGGCUCAUGCCUAUAAUUCCAGAGCUUUGGGAAGCCAAGGCAGGAGCAUCUCUUGAGGCCAAGAGUUCAAGACCAGCGUGGGCAACACAGUGAAACCCUCAUCUCUAAAAAAAAAAA